rfam:Enterococcus sp. 2G9_DIV0600 scaffold00001, whole genome shotgun sequence.
UCUCAUUUAAACGAUACAAUCCCUAACCUCUAUUGUAUCCUUGUAACUCUGAAGUUACGCCAGGUUUGAAUAAAUUUCUUCAAAACAAG